GGAAAAUAUUGCUCCAGAUGACUAGAGCUGUGCAUGAUUCUUUGUGCUGAGAUCUAGACAAGUUUAAGCCAUCAUUCAUGUGGCUUUCAUGGUGCAUAAUAGCCUGUAAGAAAGCAGAAGUGAUACCUUCAUUCCCUGUGUUCCCUUCCCAAGCCAGUGUCAACAUCAUGUGCUCUGAAAUCACUGAGAGUAACAGCAAACAGAAUCAAAAGGCAGGUAGAGACAUCCCAAUGCUAUUGUGUUCAGAUUAAAUAACACACACACAGCUCCCUGUACAAACUAGCUUUCAAUAUAUUCAGUUAUUGUUUUACAAAAUGAUUCAAUAAAUAUUGAAUGAAAUAAAACAAAUAGCAGGGAAUUUCCACAUAUUUAUAUUCAACAAAUGAUCUCUGGCCUCAGCAAACUGUGAACAAGCAUCAAACAUUGCCUCCCACUACUGUAUCAUCAUAGGCUUCACAGCAGUUCCCGAGAGGCUGACCAAUCACCAAGCACUGAGCAAUGCUUCCAAAGCCUUGAAGUUCAAAACCAAAUAUUUUUAUUAGCUCUUCGAAUAGGUUCUAUGUUUUAAACUUUGUACAAAAUGGUAACAUUAGGAGAGGUUAGUGCAUGAAUCUGAAGUGCAUAGUUCAAUGAAUGUUACAGAGGGAACAUACAUCUAACCAACACCCAAUCAGGAAGAAAAACAUCAGGGAAAUUUAAAGUCCUGCUCCAUGCCCUGAGCUCCCUCCUGCCCCAUCUUCAAAGCACUCUCCACUUUCCAGACUCCAUACCAUGACUCAGUCACGCACUGUGAGUAGAAUCACACAGCAUGUGAGCCUGAGAGUUUGCCCUCCUGCAGGGACACUUCCAACAACGUAGCACAGUACACUUAAUCAAGCACAAGAACUGAAAUUAGUGAUUACAUCUAAAAUUACAUACUACCUAGAAAGCAAGUAAAGAGAAACUCCCAACACCAAACUGAAUGAGAUAAAGAUAAUUUGCAGUCAAAAGCAAGAUUAUAGCCAGGCAUGAUGGUGCACACCUGUAAUCCCAGCUACUUGGGAGGUUGAGGCAGAAAGAUGGCAAGGUGGAGGCCAACCUCAGCAACUUAGUGAGACCUGGUCUCAAAAUGAAAAGAAAAAAAGAACUAGGUAUGGAGCUUUUUGGUAGGGCACUUGCCUACGAUGUGCAAGGUUUUGCAUUUGAUCACCAGCACCACACACACACACACACACACACACAGACAAGAUUAUACCAUUACAUAUCUGUUAGAGUCUGUAAACAAGUCAAAAUAACACCUGGCAUUUUGCCAGAGAAAUGUUAGUCUGUAAACAAGUCUGGAUGGCGCCUAGGCAAAAUGCCAGAGAGAGUGGUUUGUGAAGUAACGCCAUCGAGCCAUUAAGUGUGGAGAUUCCUUAUUGGUUGACUGCUGUAUCUAGUUUAUGUUAAUUAGAUAAGCUGUGUGGAAUGUAUAAAAUACCGCUCCUGUCCUAC
rnacentral:lncRNA from 1 species